AACGAACGCUGCGGCAGGCUUAACACAUGCAAGUCGAGCGCCCCGCAAGGGGAGCGGCAGACGGGUGAGUAACGCGUGGGAAUCUACCCAUCUCUACGGAAUAACGCAUGGAAACGUGUGCUAAAACCGUAUACGUCCUUCGGGAGAAAGAUUUAUCGGAGAUGGAUGAGCCCGCGUUGGAUUAGCUAGUUGGUGGGGUAAAGGCCUACCAAGGCGACGAUCCAUAGCUGGUCUGAGAGGAUGAUCAGCCACACUGGGACUGAGACACGGCCCAGACUCCUACGGGAGGCAGCAGUGGGGAAUAUUGGACAAUGGGCGCAAGCCUGAUCCAGCCAUGCCGCGUGAGUGAUGAAGGCCCUAGGGUUGUAAAGCUCUUUCACCGGUGAAGAUAAUGACGGUAACCGGAGAAGAAGCCCCGGCUAACUUCGUGCCAGCCGCCGCAGUAAAAC
rnacentral:rRNA from 1 species